rnacentral:rRNA from 1 species
GACGAACGCUGGCGGCGUGCUUAACACAUGCAAGUCGAACGAGAGCGUAGAGAAAGCUUGCUUUUUCUACAAUCUAGUGGCAAACGGGUGAGUAACGCGUAAACAACCUGCCCUACGGAUGGGGACAACAGCUGGAAACGGCUGCUAAUACCGAAUACGUUCCGAAAGUCGCAUGACUAUCGGAAGAAAGGAUGGCCUCUAUUUAUAAGCUAUCGCCGGAGGAGGGGUUUGCGUCUGAUUAGCUAGUUGGAGGGGUAACGGCCCACCAAGGCGACGAUCAGAAGCCGGUCUGAGAGGAUGAACUGCCACAUUGGAACUGAGACACGGUCCAGACUCCUACGGGAGGCAGCAGUGGGGAAUCUUCCGCAAUGGGCGAAAGCCUGACGGAGCAACGCCGCGUGAGUGAAGACGGCCUUCGGGUUGUAAAGCUCUGUUAUACGGGACGAAUAAUCUUGUGGUUAAUACCCAUGAGAAGUGACGGUACCGUAAGAGAAAGCCACGGCUAACUACGUG